ensembl:lncRNA
CUGCUAGUUGUUUUCUGUUCCAAAAAUAUCUAGUUUAAUACUAUUUAAAUUUACAUAUAUUUUUGUAAAUUACACAAAAUUGGCAUUUUCAAUGCCAAUGCCAUUACACAAAAUUGGCAUGGCGGAGUUUCCCACUACCCGUGAAUGCCUCUUAUUUUACGUCUCUGGCUGACUCCUGAAUCUCCUCCCACUCUCUGCUUGAUCCCUGCCGAGUGAACGAGAUCUUUGGUUUUGCCUUUGCUGACUGCUGAUCUGAUCGUCUCAAGUCUGGUGACCUGCUGCAGAAAACCCUCUCCCUCUAUCAUUAACAAGCAAUUCAGUCUGUCCUAUCACUCUCCUCUCCCUGCUCCAUCUUUUUUGACAAGCCAUUCUAUCUUCUAUCAUUUCUCCGCCAUGAGCUCUAUCUAAGUUGACAAGCUUGAACCUGAGUUGAAACGCAAUCCUGUG